rnacentral:rRNA from 1 species
AGAGUUUGAUCCUGGCUCAGAACGAACGCUGGCGGCGUGCUUAAUACAUGCAAGUCGAACGAGAAAUCCCGACUUCGGUUGGGAGAGUACAGUGGCGAACGGGUGAGUAACACGUGGAUAAUCUACCCUUGAGUUCGGAAUAAUUCCUCGAAAGGGGUUGUAAUACCGGAUAAUAUCCUCGAAGGACAUCCUUUGAGGAUCGAAGGCGGGGUAACCUGUCGCUUAGGGAUGAGUCCGCGCUCCAUUAGCUUGUUGGCGGGGUAAUGGCCCACCAAGGCUUCGAUGGAUAGCCGGCCUGAGAGGGUGAUCGGCCACACUGGGACUGAGAUACGGCCCAGACUCCUACGGGAGGCAGCAGUAGGGAAUAUUGCGCAAUGGACGAAAGUCUGACGCAGCAACGCCGCGUGAGUGAUGACGCAUUUAGGUGUGUAAAACUCUGUCAGUGGGGAAGAACCGCAUGGGGAGUAACUGCCCUGUGUCUGACGGUACCCACAGAGAAGUCCCGCUAACU